CUUUGAGAGUUGAAUCUUACAAGGUAUAAGGGUCUUGGAGGGGACUAUAUAAAUAAGGGGGUAGAGCCUCUAGGAAUCUAUGAAGCCAAAGGCAAUCAAGGCUUGUGAGAGACAAUUAUAAGCGAUUAAGAGGGAUAGAUUAGAUAGUUCUAUAGCACUAGAUUCUUGUAUAGGGUAAGAAUCAGAGAGUCCUAAAGGGUCAAGUAGGGUUGCGAUGGAGCGACAAUCACUUGUACUCUUUUGGAGUUGUGCUUAAAGAAUUUGCGGUUAGCUUCGUCAAAAUUCUAUUCUCUUGUCACGGUUGCUUCAACUCCAUCAUUUGGAUUUUUCAACGAGAUUCAUCUACUUUAUUCUUGAUACAGUGCAAGUUCGUAUCGU
rnacentral:lncRNA from 1 species